GUGGGUGUUAUGCUGAGAAAGGUACAUGCAAGGGAAGAAGAACAGAGGCUGCACCAAGCUGGGAGAAACUGCAAGCACAUGGGAAGACGGGAUACACUAAUUCCAGAGUCAUCGUUGUGAUCCUUUGUUGAACUCACUCCUGUAUGUUCAUGGUCUCACCAGUGCUGAGUAAAGGGGAAGGAUCAUAUAUCUGAUCACUGGUUCCUCCUAACUUUGCUUCCUUCAGGGAAGGCAACUUCAUUUCAGUUCUCUCUUAUUUCAGGCUUUGCAGUUUUUCUUUUUCUUUAGAAAGCUGAAGGUCUGGUGGCUGCCUGAUCUGGUGGUUGGCAACCCUGCACAUAGAAGGGGGGUUGAAACUAGAUGUUCACUGUGGUCCUUUUCAACCCAGGCCAUUCCAUGAUUCUAUGAAAAAUAUAGUCCUAUGUAAGUGUCAGUGGAAGGAAGAACAUAGUGGGAGGAGAAGCCUCCCCACACUACAACAAAAUCCUAAUCCUGGAGAAAAAAAUAAUCUAUUUUUAUAGCUGAUGGUGUAUUUCAAGGAUGCCAAGAUUUAGGGAAUUCUUCUCCUGACUUUAAACUUUUUAAUUUUUAUUUGUUCUAAAGGUUAAAAAGUGAUUGAAGGAUAAUGAAAAUAAGUGCUGAAGUAAAAACUCAUUUUUUUUGUUUUGUUUUGUUUUGUUUUUAACAGAAAGUGUCAGAAUGUUUUAAAAUCAGAAAUAAUUUUAGAGAACAAGAAAAAAAUAUUUUAAUGACAUUUUAAAAAGACUGUUUCCUUUUCACAUCAGUAAAUAUAUAUCACUGGAUUGAGAAUCUGAUUCACUUCGGAUUAUGUUAUUUUGGGGUUGUCAGUUACUCCUUGCCAAAGAAAGGUGGAUGUAUGUUGGAAAUACUGAAAUAGUAUUUGAUAACAAAUGUACUUUAAUGAAGAGGUGCCUUGGAUCCUUUUAGUUGUGUGUCUUCUUACCUUAAUACUAGUAAUUAGAAGAUUAAGGAACUGAACUCAAGGCUUCACAGCUUGAAAACAAAAAUAUGAAUUUAAUAUAUGUACUUGUUAUAAUCAAAAUGUGAUCUUGUUAAUAUAGAUGAAAGGACAGAGAAAGAAAAGCAAAUUGAUGCCUUGACAAUGUAAGAGCAUGAAAUUAAAUUUAUUAAAAGAGCAAUCAGACAAUAGUCUUCCUCUGCAUGUCAUUUUAUGUCCGUAAUUAUAUACUUCCUUUCUCUGAAUGAGUUUAUGAUGCUUUUGGGGAGAUGGUCAUCUGAUACACGCUAGAACUGUUACCAUUUUACAGAUGAGAGUGGAGUCAUGGAGUAAAUACAGUGGCCUACAUUCUGUGAAGAAUUUGCUAUAACCUCACCUUUGCUGAAUGUUUAUCAAGUUUCCCAGCUGCAAGUCAUCUUUUGUUUCAAGAAAAAAGAAAUUGUUUAUUUCCAGGAAGAGAAAAAAAUGUCAUUGUCAAGAAUAUGAGGAAAAAGGCACUCCUUCAUUUCUAUAAAAAUAGAUAUACUCGCUAUGAUUAACUGAUCUUUGAACUUUUCUGUUUGUUUGAUCAUUUUUUUAACCCAAACUAUUUUCACAUCUAAAUGUGGUCUUAUUUAAAAUUUAUUGAAAUAUGAGGGCUUAUUUUUUCAGUGAACGAGAAGAGUAAACAGGGUCUGGUCCUUAGAAAUUGCUCUCUCCCAAGAGAUAAAAUGAGCUCAUGCUUUCAUGAUGAAUUGUAAUCCUUGAGGUAUACUGUUCUGUUCUGUUGAGUGACUUCUGAUUUCUUUAGUUUGGUCUCUUAAUCUGUUUUUUUUUUUUUUUUUUUUUUUUUUUUUUUUUUUUUUUUUAACUGAAUAUUGAUUUCAGUUCACUGCUUUACUGGAAGUACUGUACCAAAGAUUAUCUUUCGACAGUCUCCAAGCAUGAGAUGCUUAGUAGAAGUCCCUCGUCUUACUAGAGGUUUAUAUUCUUAGAGCAGGUUUUUUCUCUUAAUACGUAGGCUAGUGCUAUGAACAGUUGUAUCUACAAAUACUUUAAUACUUUCUUAACUUUUUAGAUAACUGUCAGCAAUGAUAGUUAAGCUCAGAUGAUAAUUUCUUUAUCUUCACAUUUUCCUUCAUAUUUUUAUUUGAGUUUUUAUUAAGAUGAUUUUUAUUAGGAUAGUUUUGGAAAAGAUUUUAAUGCAUUUCUUGCUUGAAAUCCAGUGGGAAAUUGUUUUUUUUUUUUAUUUUUUUUCUUCAGAAUAAAGUGAGGGCAGUGGACAGUGAAAAAUUAAUUAGGUAGAUUCAGCUAAGUAAUCAGGCAGACUGAUGAGUGAUUAAACAAUAAGUGUCUAAGAAAGUUUUUUAAUUAUAACAAGGUAUUUCGUUAAUCCUGGGUAAAUGAAAUUAAUUUUAACUUCUUUCAUGUCAUAUUUCUCUCUGAUGUCAUAUUUCAGAUUUGUGUUAGAGUGACUUUAUAAUGACAAGUCCUAGACUGGGACUCUAUCAACAUCUCUAAAUCAAAAGAGGAGAGAUAAGAACUUGAAGUAGCUGUGAGGAAGAAAAAAUCCACUCACUGGAGAAUGAAGGUGUUUGAUGUGGAUUUUGCUACCUAAAUCUAAUUGUGAUCUUCAAAACUUGUAACUAAUUUGUCAGGUUAUGUCUACAUGGCAGAAUGCAGUACUGCAGGAUGUCUGAGCUAUCUGUGAAUGAAUUAAUGCCAGGACUAGAAGAAAUAUGUGUGCAGUUCAGCACUUUUUUUUAUCUAAUGUAGAGUAGACUUGAAUAAUUUACAUCAGUCUACACAGCUUUGCAUUGUGCCAUGUCCACAGGUGCCUAGCACUGUUUUUAUGUAUGCCACUGCCAGUCUUAGUAUGGCAAAUGAUCUUAAUGCUUUAGGAUCCAAGAGUAUGCUUUAGGGUCUGACCUUGCCCCUGAGCAGGGGAAAAUCAGGAUUGACACUCUUCUAGGAGUGUUUUUCACUGUGUUUAUAGAAAAGGUUGUCACUGGGUUUCCUGUACCACAAUUUGAUGCAAAGAUACUUCUCUCUGGCUCUCAAGUGCUUUUGACAAUCCUUUAUUUUGGCCGUGCAGGCAUGAAGGCUGGGAUCUGUGAGCUGCAACUUUUCCAUUGCUGAACUGUCAAGAUUGAAGGAAACAGUACAACUGAAGGGACAUCAUUGUGAGACAGAAUUUCUGAGAACAUUGCCCAGAUUGUAGGUUUCUAUGUCUACCACAUGGGCAUCUGAAUCACAGAAACAGACAAGAUUAGACACAUUAAUUGUCAUAUCUGGCUCUCUGCUCAACCUGGGAGCUAAUAAAAAUGCUGUAGAGAAGUAAUUUAUAAUUAGAAGACAGUGGGAGUGUGAUAACACAUCCUCACUAUUAUUACUCUGAGUAUGUAGUCUGCAUUUCUGGAUGUGCAUGCAGCUUUGUCAUUAUCCUUAUUUUCAUUUAGAAAAUUUUGUUAGAGCAGAUUUGGGGAUUUUCAGCCUUGCUUGAAGUAUUUGGAAGUCUGCACAGAGCAAGUGUUGCAGCAACCAGACAGAGGUGAAUUGAGAAAUUUCAGUGCAUUUGUUUGUCAGGAUGAAUGAGUCCAGUAAGGAAGAGAAAAGAAGCUGGUCACACAUGAAGAAGGAUGGACAUACAUGUUAACAAAUCUUCGGGAUACCUGCUGUGUAUUAUGUCUUUGGCAAGAAUUUCUUUUCUAGAAAUCCUAGGAGUUUUGUGCAAAAAGAUGUCAAAUGCCUCUGAUACCUGUGCUGAAAGACCUUAGAAGACGCUAAGUCAGAGUAAAUGUAGUCAGUUUGGCCUAUAAGCUUCUUCUUGUGUCAGAGACUGAACUCUGGUAACAAUUGCAACUGCACAGUACUAAGUCUCCAUGACAAUGCAACUGCCUUAAAAACCUUUAAAAAAACUAGUAGCUUAUUAAGCAAAAAUACAAAUUUAUUGGGAAUGAAUAAAAUACACUUAACAUCCUUGAAAAUUCAGCUGCUAAAAAUAAAUAAAUGUUAAAAAAAAAAAAAAUAGAACACCUAAGGGUUGAUUCAGAAUUCAUGCAGAAUCCUGAAUUGAUUUGAUCAAAGAAAUAGCAGUUACUCUUCCUUCUCACAGACCUCCUCCUCCAUAGAAUGAAUGCAAAGAAUGAAUAGAAAAAUUGUCUUCUCUAAUUUGAACUUGAUAAAGCCUUGACAGAUCCAUCUGUUUCAUUCUUUGUGGGAGAUAAUACAUGGUAGUAAUUCUAACUUCAUUUAUCAUCAAAAAACAGGUGAUCUGAGCUCUACAUCAUAUAAUACAAUACACAAAAGAAUUCUACAUAUAUUGUCCUUCCUGCUCUUUGUUACUGUUUCUAUCUUUCUGGAAUUUCACAAAUCAGCAUUUCUUUCCUUCUUCUGCCACUUAUUUGAUAAUUUCUUUGUCAUGUUAGAGUUCAUUUUCUUUAUAUUGUUUGCUUUUGUGUUUUUUUCAUUUGUUUAUUUGUUUGUUUAUAUGUUUUUACAUUUCCAGUAUAAACUUCAAAUGCUUUUAAACUGUCACUUUAGUGUGGCUGUCUCUAUUAAAACCAGACAAACGUCACCAGGUUGAGAUAUAUCUAUUGUAGGAACUGGGAUUUUAUAUGAUUACAUGAAUUCUCACUUGAAAAGGAAUAAUUCUAGUUUCAAUGUUUCAUAUUUAUUAGUACCACAGGCAAAACUGAAUGUCUGUAUUGUAAAGCAGGAUAUGCAUCAGGAAGUGAUCUUUCCCAGCAUCAGAUAAAUAUUUGUUAUUUUAGAUUAAAAUAAUUUUUUAAGAUCUUUUGCAAUUAAUUCUCAAGUCAGGACUCUUCUGAGUCUUUACUCUUUGAGUAAAAUAGUUGGAUUUGUUUUGUGGUUGAGUGGUUGUGGGUUUUGUUUUGUUUCUUUUUCACCAGUUUUCUGACUGGGAAUGGACAUUACAGUAAGGAACUGAAGCAAAUGAUUUCUUUCAGCUCAGUCCCAAAGUUUAUUGCAUUAGGAAAGAAAAAAU
ensembl:lncRNA